rnacentral:rRNA from 1 species
CAGUAGCCGCGGUAACACGUAGGGUGCAAGCGUUAAUCGGAAUUACUGGGCGUAAAGCGUGCGCAGGCGGUCCGCUAAGACAGAUGUGAAAUCCCCGGGCUUAACCUGGGAACUGCAUUUGUGACUGGCGGGCUAGAGUAUGGCAGAGGGGGGUAGAAUUCCACGUGUAGCAGUGAAAUGCGUAGAGAUGUGGAGGAAUACCGAUGGCGAAGGCAGCCCCCUGGGCCAAUACUGACGCUCAUGCACGAAAGCGUGGGGAGCAAACAGGAUUAGAUACCCGUGUAGUCCCUGUCUCUUAUAC